UGGGGAAUAUUGGACAAUGGGGGCAACCCUGAUCCAGCAAUGCCGCGUGUGUGAAGAAGGCCUGCGGGUUGUAAAGCACUUUCAGUGGGGAGGAAGGCCUUGGUGUUAAUAGCACCGAGGAUUGACGUUACCCAAAGAAGAAGCACCGGCUAACUCUGUGCCAGCAGCCGCGGUAAUACAGAGGGUGCAAGCGUUAAUCGGAAUUACUGGGCGUAAAGGGUGCGUAGGUGGUUUAUUAAGUUAUAUGUGAAAACCCUGGGCUUAACCUAGGAAUUGCAUAUAAAACUAAUAAGCUAGAGUGCAGUAGAGGGAAGUGGAAUUUCCAGUGUAGCGGUGAAAUGCGUAGAUAUUGGAAGGAACAUCAGUGGCGAAGGCGACUUCCUGGACUGUUACUGACACUGAGGCACGAAAGCGUGGGGAGCGAACAG
rnacentral:rRNA from 1 species